UGAGAAAAGAAGCAUGUCUUCUUCCCACGUGACCCAGGCUUUCAGAAAAAGAGACCCAUCGAGCAGCCUCACAGCAUCCUCCCGGCGCUGAAGAGACCACACCAUGUCCUGCCCCUGGGCUGGGAUCCUGCUUCUCGCCCUGCAGGUGGCUGCUUCCCAGGAGCAGCUGUGGCUGCAGCAAAACCCAGCAGAGAUCUGGACGACCUCAGGACAGACUGUGCAGAUGGACUGCACUGUUUUGUAUGAAGACUAUCACGUAUCCUGGUACAAAGAGGGUCAGGACGGCAGUCUGCAGUGGGUUGCCUGGACUGGUAAAUCUGUACCUGCAAAAGGAAGAUACUCAAGUAAAGUGAGCGGUGCAGGGAAAACAGUCUCUCUAGUCAUCAGGGAUCUGCAGGAGGAGGAUUCUGGGGUCUAUUACUGUGCCGUUGAUGCCUUUACAUAUGCUGGCUUUGGGAAUGGGACCAGGUUGAUCAUCUCUGAUGCCGCCCAACCCAGCCUUGCCAUCUUGGCACCUUCCCCCAAGGAGGAAGCUGAGCUCCCAGACCCCGUCCCCCUGCUCUGCCUGCUCUCCCCGCAGGCUCAGGGUUGGGGGGCACCUCUCUGGGACCUCGGGGAGGGGUCUCCAGGACAGGCAGAUGCAGGAGCCCAGGAUGGGGAAGGUGCAUGGAGCAUGACAACAGUCCCCAAAGAGAAGUGGGACACAGGGACGUGCUGCACCUGCACCGCCAGACAGGAGGGAACAAGAAGAAACAUCAGCGCUGCCAUGCCCAAGGGCCUGGGCACCAUGUCGGAGGGUACGUGA